GUUCGUAGGUGAACCUGCGGAAGGAUCAUUGAAUCUAUCAAAUCCACACAUUACACGUGAACCCUUUACAUCGUUGGCCAUCUGUACAGCAUAUGUUGUACAGAUUGGAUCCGGGAUCUGAGAAAUCGGAUCCAGGAUCCAGACGUCAUUGCAAUGCUUUGCAUUGCAGUGGCUUCGGUCCCUUACUAAUCCAACCAACACCUAACCAAAAUAACAUACAAAACCGAAUGUAUGGCUUAGAGCCACACGUUCAAAAACCAAGACAACUCUCAACAACGGAUAUCUUGGCUCUCAGAUCGAUGAAGAACGCAGCGAAAUGCGAUACGUAGUGUGAAUUGCAGAAAUACGUGAAUCAUCGAAUCUUUGAACGCAAAUUGCGCUCGAGGCUUCGGCCAAGAGCAUGUCUGCCUCAGCGUCGGGUUAAAACUCGCUCUACCCUUCUUGGGUAUGAUGCGGAACUGGCUGUCUCAGCAUGUUUUGGUACAUGUUGGGUCAGCUGAAGUGUGCAGCUGUCGAUACAUGGACCCGCUACGGGCCUCUACUGGGUAGGCAACCUGUUGCUUCAUGCUUUAGUAGAUGGCUUAGGAUCGGUGUGUUGGCACAAAACAGGAGCGUGCCUUUGGCAUGCAUUACUCUUUUUUUCUCGACCUGAGCUCAGGCAAGAUUACCCGCUGAACUUAAGAA
rnacentral:rRNA from 1 species